rnacentral:rRNA from 1 species
UUAAUUAGCUACACCACCUUGUCAGCGCUCGAUGUAGUUUAAUCUCAGAAGCUAAGCAGGGAUGGGCUUGGUUAGAACUUGGGAACAUGGGAGAACCUUGGGAAUACCCGGUGCCAC